rnacentral:lncRNA from 10 species
UCGCUCUGUUGCCAGGCUGGAGUGCGGUGGCCCAAUCUUGGCUCACUGCAACCUCCGACUCCCUGGUUCAAGCAAUUCUCCUGCCUCAGCCUCCUGAGUAGCUGGGAUUAUAGGCAUCCACAACCACGCCCUGCUAAUUUUUUGUAUUUUUAGUAGAGAUGAGGUUUCACCAUGUUGGCCAGACUGGUCUCAAACUCCUGCCUCAGAUGAUCUGCCCGCCUUGGCCUCCCAAAGUGCUGGGAUUACAGGCGUGAGCCACCGUGCCCGGCCCACUGCUUCACUCUUGACCUGAGCCUCACGAUGCCUCCUCACCCACUGCCCCUGCUCGUACCCUGUGUCUGUACAUAAGGGUUUCUGGGGAGUGCCCCGCUGGGCUGUGGGCUGGCCUAGGGCCAGGGCUGCUCGGCGGGAAGGGUUAUGA